rnacentral:tmRNA from 1 species
GGGGGUGACCAGGGCUCGACAGGAAUAUUUUCAGAUAAUGACUGCAGGUCGUGGUUGGUCGGAGGCCACGAGCCCGCCUCUGGCGGGCGAGUCCGCCUCUGGCGGGCGAGUCCGCCAGUUUGGUGGACGAAAAAUUCGACCACUUACAAACAGGUGCAAACACCUAUGCAUAUGCAGCCUAAGUUGAAUUAGGCAGCGCGUUGCUGUUUGACUCCUGAUAGAACAGACAACGUUCAAAACUCAGGAUUACUUUUAAGGCGUCUGCUACAACGACCUUAGAAGGAAAACUUAAUCUGUGGCUGGUCUGUAGCGCCCCGUUCAGAGGCAAACUACAGACGAGAACCAUAUCUGGACUAAGCCUGUAGAUGUCUUAUCUGGAUAUUUCUGGACCGGGGUUCGAUUCCCCGCACCUCCACCA